UUUCCGUAGGUGAACCUGCGGAAGGAUCAUUACUGAGUGAGGGCCCUCUGGGUCCCACCUCCCACCCGUGUUUAUUGUACCUUGUUGCUUCGGUGCGCCCGCCUCACGGCCGCCGGGGGGCUUCUGCCCCCGGGUCCGCGCGCACCGGAGACACCAUUGAACUCUGUCUGAAGAUUGCAGUCUGAGCAUAAACUAAAUAAGUUAAAACUUUCAACAACGGAUCUCUUGGUUCCG
rnacentral:misc_RNA from 1 species